rnacentral:misc_RNA from 1 species
AAGUCGUAACAAGGUUUUCGUAGGUGAACCUGCGAAAGGAUCAUUAGUGAAUAACUGGGUGACUCUGUAAAAGAGAAUCCCGCUUUCCCACUUAUCAUCAAACACUGUGCACAAAACCUUUUUUUAACUUUAACCUUAAAAAGAAACACCGAUGUCAAAAUAAUGUUUGUGAAUGUACAAUCAUGUUAAAAUGAAAGUAAAA